AGCGAACGCUGGCGGCAGGCUCAACACAUGCAAGUCGAGCGGGCACUUCGGUGUCAGCGGCAGACGGGUGAGUAACACGUGGGAACGUACCCUUUGGUUCGGAAUAACGCUGGGAAACUAGCGCUAAUACCGGAUACGCCCUUUUGGGGAAAGGCUUGCUGCCGAAGGAUCGGCCCGCGUCUGAUUAGCUAGUUGGUGGGGUAAUGGCCUACCAAGGCGACGAUCAGUAGCUGGUCUGAGAGGAUGAUCAGCCACACUGGGACUGAGACACGGCCCAGACUCCUACGGGAGGCAGCAGUGGGGAAUAUUGGACAAUGGGCGCAAGCCUGAUCCAGCCAUGCCGCGUGAGUGAUGAAGGCCUUAGGGUUGUAAAGCUCUUUUGUCCGGGACGAUAAUGACGGUACCGGAAGAAUAAGCCCCGGCUAACUUCGUG
rnacentral:rRNA from 1 species